AGAGUUUGAUCAUGGCUCAGGAUGAACGUUGGCGGCGUGCCUAACACAUGCAAGUCGAACGCAAAUAGCAAUAUUUGAGUGGCGCACGGGUGAGUAACACGUAGCUUACCUCCCUCCAAGCGUGGGAUAACGUUCCGAAAGGAAUGCUAAUACCGCAUAAGCUCACGAGCUAUAGAGGCUUGUGAGAAAAGGGGCAACUCACUUGGAGACGGGGCUGCGGCCCAUCAGCUAGUUGGCGAGGUAACGGCUCACCAAGGCGACGACGGGUAGGGGACCUGAGAGGGUGACCCCCCACACUGGGACUGAGACACGGCCCAGACUCCUACGGGAGGCAGCAGUGAGGAAUAUUGCACAAUGGGCGCAAGCCUGAUGCAGCGACGCCGCGUGAGUGAAGAAGGCCUUCGGGUCGUAAAGCUCUUUUCUGCGUGACGAGCAAGGACGGUAGCGCAGGAAUAAGUCUCGGCUAACUACGUGCCAGCAGCCGCGGUAAAACGUAGGAGACAAACGUUAUCCGGAGUUACUGGGCGUAAAGGGCGUGUAGGCGGUUUGUUAAGUCUGGCGUGAAAGCUCUCGGCUAAACCGGGAGAGGUCGUUGGAUACUGGCAAACUUGAGGAUGGUAGAGGCGUGUGGAAUUCUGGGUGUAGUGGUGAAAUGCGUAGAGAUCUGGAGGAACACCAGUGGCGAAGGCGACACGCUGGGCCGUACCUGACGCUAAAGCGCGACAGCAUGGGGAGCAAACGGGAUUAGAAACUCCGGUAGUCCAUGCCGUAAACGAUGUCAGCUAGGUGUUUCAAGACUCGCAAGAGGCUGGGGUACCGAAGCAAACGCGAUAAGCUGACUGCCUGGGGAGUACGGUCGCAAGGCUAAAACUCAAAGGAUUG
rnacentral:rRNA from 1 species